rnacentral:rRNA from 1 species
UACCAGCACCCCGAGUGGUCGGGACGUUUUAUUGGGCCUAAAGCAUCCGUAGCCGGUUCUACAAGUCUUCCGUUAAAUCCACCUGCUUAACAGAUGGGCUGCGGAAGAUACUAUGGAGCUAGGAGGCGGGAGAGGCAAGCGGUACUCGAUGGGUAGGGGUAAAAAUCCGUUGAUCCAUUGAAGACCACCAGUGGCGAAGGCGGCUUGCCAGAACGCGCUCGACGGUGAGGGAUGAAAGCUGGGGGGAGCAAACCGG